UGUCAAUAUCUAUCCCAUGGUUGUCAAUAUCCACGUCUUUGCCCUCGUGUUCCUGCAUUCCCUGUUUGAACAGGCCUUUCCAUGGGCAAUUUUCCCAGGACGACCCCAUUAUUAUUCCGAGGAGACGUCUGCCCCCUCCGAGCCUGAUGGGUGGUCUUUCUGAAGGCAAAAGGAAGAGGAAAAGAAAGGGGAAAAGGCUCUGCCAGGUCAAUCACAGGCCACCUGAUGUCAUCUGAUCGCCAAGGUUGAUUUUUCAUGUUGCGUCCUAUCAGCAGCUACCGUUCGCUCCUCCACCAGCACGCUGAUAAGAUCCUUCUCAACGCUCACGAAGCAUGACAUCAUGAACAGGAGGAAGCUCGCAGGGUAUUUGCGAGACGCACGUCAACAGUCAGAACCCGCGGAACUCGAGUCGUGAGUGAUGACUGAUGGACGGAUCGGGUAACUAACGAGGAAUCUCAACUAUAACCUGAAUGUGAAAAACAGAUUUUUCGCACACCCCAUACUGGAUGUAACCCCAGACCAUGAUUUUGCCACCACCAAACUUCACUGUUUUCUGAGUGAAUCUCGGAUCCAUGUGGGCUCCGGUAGGUCUCCUGCAAUAUUAUUCAUCUGAAAAAUCCACCUUUUGCCACUUUUCCAGCGUCCAUCCUUUUGACAGGCUGUGGGCCUUGGCAAAUGCCACACAUUUUUUUAAUUGUCUGCACCCUGAGAGAUAAAUAGUCUGAAAUAUCAACAAAUCUUAGCUGCCUCUUACAUUCCUAACCAUAAAAAGGGACAAAUUCUG